GGGGGUGUAAAGGUUUCGACGGGGAAGUGAGUUUCUGGAUUGCACCGGGUCGGGGCAGGUGGCCGACCUUAAUAAACCUGCAACGGCUUAAUUGCCGACAAUUAUAACACUCCUGUUGCACUAGCUGCUUAACAGGCGUCCCCAAUGAAGAUGCCGGUGGUACAACGGGGACGUCAUUCACGACCGGAUUGGGAUACGCAACGCCCGUAGCGUAACCUGAAAUCAACGGGACCGCCGAUCAGCUGCUUUGUCAGGUGCGCAGACGAUCGGUUAAAUUGAGCAACUGACUAACGGUGUAGUAAUUCAGUUUGUAGGUUCUUCGGACGUGGGUUCGACUCCCACCACCUCCACCA
rfam:Geobacteraceae bacterium GWB2_52_12 GWB2_Geobacter-like_52_12_gwb2_scaffold_8724, whole genome shotgun sequence.